UACAGAGACUGCAAGCGUUUAUUCGGAUUCACUGGGCGUAAAGGGUGCGCAGGCGGUCGGGUGUGUCAGAUGUGAAAUCCCGAGGCUCAACCUCGGAACUGCGUCUGAAACUACUCGACUAGAGUACUGGAGAGGGUAACGGAAUUCACGGUGUAGCAGUGAAAUGCGUAGAUAUCGUGAGGAACACCAGGGGCGAAGGCGGUUACCUGGACAGUUACUGACGCUCAGGCACGAAAGCAUGGGGAGCAAAAGGG
rnacentral:rRNA from 1 species